rnacentral:rRNA from 1 species
AUGAGGGAGGAAAUUCCCAUGGGAGCUGACGGCGGAGGCCAUCUUGAAUUUGGCUCCCAGCCGGGUGCGGUUCCGGAGACCAAUACGGCUCCCGAACCAGGCAAGCGGCCUCUCCCAGCUGGAGGGGGCAUAUCGGCAACCUCUGUCCAACCAGAGGUGUCGGAUGCUUUGCUGGUGGCGCUGAAGAGCGCCUCCGUCGUCGAUGAACACCGUGCCCUUAUGGGUGCGGUGAUUGAGAAGAUUCAGUCCGCUGAGAAUGGAUUGAAUGGAGCCUGUAUCGGCCUUAUAAAAGGUUUUGAGGCGUCCGUAGCGGCUGCUGCCGCUCAUACUGCGGAGAUCUCCGGACUGAAUCAAAAUCUGGAGCGGGCCCAAGAAGAACUUGGCCAGUUGAAAAUGCAGUUGAGGGAUAGACAUGCGAUGGUGACCGAAGUCGAGGCUCUUAAGGAGGCUGUGGCCAAGGCCGAGAAAAAGGCAGCCACAGAGUAG